UCAGGCGUAGCUCAAUGGUGGAGCAUCCGGCUGUUAACCGGAGGGUUGUAGGUUCGAAUCCUACCGCCUGAG
rnacentral:tRNA from 2 species